rnacentral:rRNA from 1 species
AGAGUUUGAUCAUGGCUCAGGACGAACGCUGGCGGCGUGCUUAAUACAUGCAAGUCGAGCGAGGUUAUCUUUUCAAAGCCCUUCGGGGUAGCGAAUUUUUAACCUAGCGGCGGACGGGUGAGUAACGCGUGGGUAACCUACCCUAAAGCCCGGGAUAACAGCGGGAAACUGCUGCUAAUACCGGAUAGCUUUAUCUAGAGGCAUCUUCGGAUAAGGAAAGAUUUAUCGCUUUAGGAUGGGCCCGCGUCCCAUUAGCUAGUUGGUGAGGUAACGGCUCACCAAGGCGGCGAUGGGUAGCCGGCCUGAGAGGGUGAACGGCCACACUGGGACUGAGACACGGCCCAGACUCCUACGGGAGGCAGCAGUAGGGAAUAUUGCGCAAUGGAGGGAACUCUGACGCAGCGACGCCGCGUGAGCGAUGAAGGUCUUCGGAUCGUAAAGCUCUGUCCUUGGGGAAGAAGGUCUUCGGACUUGACGGUACCUAAGGAGGAAGCCCCGGCUAACUACGUGCCAGCAGCCGCGGUAAUACGUAGGGGGCAAGCGUUGUCCGGAAUUAUUGGGCGUAAAGGGUGCGUAGGCGGCCUUUUAAGUCAGAUGUGAAAGCCCACGGCUUAACCGUGGGACUGCAUUUGAAACUGGAGGGCUUGAGUAUCGGAGAGGGUAGUGGAAUUCCCAGUGUAGCGGUGGAAUGCGUAGAUAUUGGGAGGAACACCAGUGGCGAAGGCGACUACCUGGACGAAAACUGACGCUGAGGCGCGAAAGCUAGGGGAGCAAACAGGAUUAGAUACCCUGGUAGUCCUAGCCGUAAACGAUGGGUACUAGGUGUAGGAGGUUUCGAUACCUUCUGUGCCGCAGUUAACGCAAUAAGUACCCCGCCUGGGGAGUACGUGCGCAAGCAUGAAACUCAAAUGAAUUGACGG